rnacentral:rRNA from 1 species
UACGGAGGGUGCGAGCGUUGUCCGGAAUCACUGGGCGUAAAGGGCGCGUAGGCGGCCUGAUAAGUAGGGGGUGAAAUCCUGCGGCUUAACCGCAGGGCUGCCUUCUAAACUGUCAGGCUCGAGCACAGUAGAGGCAGGUGGAAUUCCCGGUGUAGCGGUGGAAUGCGUAGAGAUCGGGAAGAACAUCAGUGGCGAAGGCGGCUCACUGGACUGGUAUUGACGCUGAGGUGCGAAAGCGUGGGGAGCAAACAGG